rnacentral:rRNA from 1 species
UGGGGAAUAUUGCGCAAUGGGCGAAAGCCUGACGCAGCGACGCCGCGUGGGUGAUGAAGGCCUUCGGGUCGUAAAGCCCUGUCGGGAGGGACGAAACCUCGGUGACCUAAUACGUCACCGACCUGACGGUACCUCUUAAGGAAGCACCGGCUAACUCCGUGCCAGCAGCCGCGGUAAUACGGAGGGUGCGAGCGUUGUUCGGAAUCACUGGGCGUAAAGCGUGCGCAGGCGGUCUUGCAAGACAGUGGUGAAAUCCCCGGGCUCAACCUGGGAACUGCCAUUGUGACUGCAAGGCUGGAGUACGGCAGAGGGGGAUGGAAUUCCGCGUGUAGCAGUGAAACGCGUAGAUAUGCGGAGGAACACCGAUGGCGAAGGCAGUCCCCUGGGCCUGUACUGACGCUCAUGCACGAAAGCGUGGGGAGCAAACA